rnacentral:rRNA from 1 species
CAGCAGCCGCGGUAAUACGAAGGUCGCAAGCGUUAUCCGGAUUUACUGGGCGUAAAGCGUCCGCAGCUGGUUUGCCCAGUCUGAUGUUAAAGGCAGAAGCUUAACUUCUGUGUGCAUUGGAUACUAGCAGGCUAGAGUUAUGGAGGGGUUAGUGGAAUUCCUAGUGUAUCGGUGGAAUGAGUAGAUAUUAGGAGGAACACCAGUGGCGAAGGCGACUAACUGGCCAUAUACUGACAGUCAUGGACGAAAGCGUGGGGAGCGAACAGGAUUAGAUACCCUGGUAGUCCACGCCGUAAACGCUGAGUACUAGGUGUUGGGCAUAAGCUCAGUGCCGCAGUUAACGCAUUAAGUACUCCGCCUGGGUAGUAUGCACGCAAGUGUAAAACUCAAAGGAAUUGACGGGGACCCGCACAAGCGGAGGAUCAUGUGGUUUAAUUCGAGGCAACGCGAAGAACCUUACCAGGAUUUGACAUACUAGGCAAAACUAUAGAGAUAUAGCCGAGGUCAACCUAGAUACAGGUGGUGCAUGGUUGUCGUCAGCUCGUGCCG